AUGGGAGAUAUAACAGAUUCUUCUAAUUCUCGGCCUCUUGUAUCUCUUCCAGCCAAUUCCAAUCAUCAUCAUGAUUUGAUGAAUGUCCAGUUGUUGCCAACUAAGCUUGAUGGCACCAAUUAUCUGGCUUGGUCUCAUUUUGUGAGAUUAUAUAUUACUGGUAAAGGUCGGAUUGGAUAUUUGACUGGAGAGAAGAAGCAACCAGAUAAUACUGACCUAAAGUUCAUAACUUGGGUUGAAGAAGAUGCUAUGCUUAGAUCAUGGCUUCUCCAGGCUAUGACCCCGGAUAUUAGUCUUGGCUAUAUGCGUCUCGACUCCGCUCAUGCGAUAUGGGAUGCGGUUUCUCAAACCUAUUCUGAGGGAGGUUGUGAUGCCCAGAUUUAUGAAUUGAAACGUCGGAUCCAAGCCACUACUCAGCAAGGUAAGACGUUGGAGACAUACUUUAAUUCACUCCAAGCUUUAUGGCAGGAACUUGAUUAUUACCAGCCGUGCGACAUGAAGUGCUCUAAUGAUACUGCUGCGUUAAAAAAACGGAUCGAGAAGGAACGUACUUUUGAGUUCUUGGCUGGUCUUACUCCGGAUUUGGAUCAAGUGAGAACACAGGUGCUUGGAAAGGAUCCUUUUCCCUCUUUGCGUGAAGCCUAUGCAUACGUGCGUGCCCAAGCUCUCCGCCGAUCUGCUAUGGUUAUGCCACCCUCUUUAGAAGGGUCUGCCUUGAUUUCUACAGCAAACCAUUUGGCUUGGGCACCACCAGUACAUCAAUCUAGUUCUUCAGCUGCUGUCUCAUCUAGUAAUGUUGCUAAGAGUUCGAAAUCUGAUGAUAAGGAUGCUUUGAAAUGUGAUUAUUGUCAUCAGACUAAGCAUGUGAGAGAGCAAUGUUUCAAGCUCAAUGGUUAUCCACCUUGGUGGCCUGGCAAGAAGGGUGAAAAAGCUGAAGGCAGCAAGGGAGGAGGUGGAAAAGGGGGCCGUUCCAGCUCCAGAGCCUACCACACAUCUUCUAGUGAUCAGAAUGACCAACCUACCUCUCAGCUCUCUUCUGCUCAAAUGGAACAAAUCGUUCAAGAGUGUGCUCGCUUGCUCUCUGAUAAAGGAUCUAAAGGGGCUUCCGGUUCCUUAGCCACCUCAUCA
rnacentral:lncRNA from 1 species